rnacentral:rRNA from 1 species
AGAGUUUGAUCAUGGCUCAGAUUGAACGCUGGCGGCAGGCUUAACACAUGCAAGUCGAGCGGAGAUGAGGUGCUUGCACCUUAUCUUAGCGGCGGACGGGUGAGUAAUGCUUAGGAAUCUGCCUAUUAGUGGGGGACAACAUUUCGAAAGGAAUGCUAAUACCGCAUACGCCCUACGGGGGAAAGCAGGGGAUCUUCGGACCUUGCGCUAAUAGAUGAGCCUAAGUCGGAUUAGCUAGUUGGUGGGGUAAAGGCCUACCAAGGCGACGAUCUGUAGCGGGUCUGAGAGGAUGAUCCGCCACACUGGGACUGAGACACGGCCCAGACUCCUACGGGAGGCAGCAGUGGGGAAUAUUGGACAAUGGGGGGAACCCUGAUCCAGCCAUGCCGCGUGUGUGAAGAAGGCCUUUUGGUUGUAAAGCACUUUAAGCGAGGAGGAGGAGCUCUAGACUA